AAAGAUUAAGCCAUGUUUGUCUAAUUAUAAGCUUUUAUACAGUGAAACUGCGAAUGGCUCACUAAAUCAGUUAUGAUCUACUUGACAAAUUUACUACUGGAUAUCCGGGGUAAUUCUAAAGCUAAUCCAGUGCAUUCAACCCCGGAUGUUUUGAUGGGAGCACUAGUUAGAUCCAUAGACCAAACCCCCAGGGCAACCUGGUAUUGCUUAGUCAUAACUAUUAACCUUACCACCCGCAAGGCCGACGGUUCAAUCAAAUUUCUGCCCAAUCAUUGCCCUGUUGGUAGGAAAAAGGCCUACCAUGGCUGCAACGGGUAACGGGGAAUAAGGGUUCUUUUCCGGAAAGGGCCCCUGAAAAAUGGCGACCCCAUCCAAGGAAGGCAGCCGGGGCGCAAAUUACCCAAUCCCCACCCGGGGAGGUAGUGACAAUAAAAAACAAAGCAGGGCCCUUUUGGGUCUUGUAAUUGGAAUGAGCUCAAUUUAAACCCCUUAACAAGGAA
rnacentral:rRNA from 1 species